GGGCGCAAGCCUGAUGCAGCCAUGCCGCGUGUAUGAAGAAGGCCUUCGGGUUGUAAAGUACUUUCAGCAGUGAGGAAGGCGGGUACGUUAAUAGCGUGCUCGUUUGACGUUAGCUGCAGAAGAAGCACCGGCUAAACUCCGUGCCAGCAGCCGCGGUAAUACGGAGGGUGCGAGCGUUAAUCGGAAUUACUGGGCGUAAAGCGCAUGCAGGCGGCCUGUUAAGUCAGAUGUGAAAGCCCGGGGCUUAACCUCGGAAUUGCAUUUGAAACUGGCAGGCUAGAGUCUUGUAGAGGGGGUAGAAUUUCAGGUGUAGCGGUGAAAUGCGUAGAGAUCUGAAGGAAUACCAGUGGCGAAGGCGGCCCCCUGGACAAAGACUGACGCUCAGAUGCGAAAGCGUGGGGAGCAAACAGGAUUAGAUACCCUGGUAG
rnacentral:rRNA from 1 species